GGGAGGGUUGGUAAAUUUUCGGGUGCCUACAGCCCCCAUCCCCCCACUGCAUCCUCCCAGCACCACUGCCCAACCCAGGCCCCCGCUGGAAAGAGCCCAGCACGGCCCUGGCCACAUCCCAGAGCAGCAGCCAAUGAGGCUGGCAUGCAAUGGGUCAGGUAGCUCCUCAAUCCACAGCUGUCUAUGCAACACAAUUUUACCAGUAUGAGGGCAGCUCACUGCAUCCUCACUGGGUGUGGGAAACUGGAUAAUCAAGAUGCUUCCCCAGCACUCCCUCAGUGGGGUGGGGGGGUGCAGCAAAUUGUAUGCCCCAGCAGAUGUGCGACUAGGAUCUAACAAAUUUCAUCACAGAUCCCCAAAAUUAUGCAUCCCGCUGUGCAUAUGUGGCUAUUAUUAUUAGGUUAUUGUAAGGUUAUUAUGAGCUGAUAGUUGGCCCAUAUUCAGCUUAGAAAACGACAAUUUCUGUGGACAUCACUCAAACCUUUGACAUUAUUUUCUCAAUAGCUUAUAUCAGGGCUGUUCAAAUUCCAAGUGGUUGGAGGUGAUUUCAGCUACCCUGACAUCUCAUGGGAGGAGCAGUCUGCCAAAUCUGAUAAGUCACAUAGCUUUCUCAUCUACAAUGAUGAACUCUACUUGUCUCAAGAAGUCUACGUGCCAAGAAGAGGAAAAUGAUGAAGGCUGAAACAGAACACAGUAUAACUAGCAAUAAGAGCCUAGGAAAAAGCCAUAGCAGAAGCUUUCAUCCACAGUAUCCAGUCAGAAUGGUUUAGUGGAAAGGGUCCAAGCAGUUUUCAAAGGAUCAUCUCACCUGCUAAGCCUCCAGGACCUUCAGGUUGAGGCUGCCAUUCAGUGCAAAGAAUCACCUGGGGAAAGACAACAAUAUCAUUUGUCUUUCUGAAAGGUUGUGCCAACAUCCCCCUUCGCGGGGUUAUCUCAAUGGCUGUGAUCUUCAACGGUGGGGACAGGCAACAGAAGGUGGAAGAACCAGGGGGAGCCCAAGGACUCCGGUGGCAGCAGUAAGAAGAGCACCCAGACUGCAAGCCUGGAGAGCACAGUUUAACCCUUCAGGGGCCACAUGCAGUACACAGACCACCGACUGGACUGCCCUUCCCUAAGUGGAGUGCCACUUCCUAAGUCAACACCUGUGCUCCUAGAGCUCUAAUA